rfam:Ciona savignyi cont_31835, whole genome shotgun sequence.
GCCUUUUAGCUCAGCCGGUAGAGCGUUGGACUUUUAAUCCAACGGUUAAGGGUUCAAGUCCCUUAUCGGGCU